rnacentral:lncRNA from 10 species
AGCUACAUCCGUCACCUGACACGGCCCUACCAGGAACAGCCGCGCUCCCGCGGAUUCUGGUGCUGCUCGCGUCCCCGCUCCCCUAUUCCCCUUAUUUUAUUCCUGGCUCCCCUCGUCGAAAGUCUUCCAUUCUUCAAACUAGAUUAUUUAAAAAUGAAAAAGGAAGAAAGGAAAGCGAGGUCAUCUCAUUGCUCUAUCCGCCAAUCAGGAGGCUGAAUGUCAGUUUUGAACUAAAAGCCGCUCCGCUCCUCUUCUAGAUUUGGAAAACAAGCGAAAUUAAACUAAACCGCUGCACGCCUCUGACGCGACAUCUGGACACGGCGCGGCGCUGGCGCUGCCGGAGCUGUCGACCCGGCCUGGCGCCGGACUAGUGUCCCUUUUGAUGAGAAGAAUAAGCCUCAUUCUGAUUCAACAGCAGAGAUCAAAGAAAAGACUUCUGUUUUCUGGCCACCAGAUAUAUGUUAUCUGUGCUUAAAGAAUUGAAAAACACACAUCAAAGGAGAAUUUUCUUGGAAAGAGAGGGUUCAAGCAUCACUGUUAGGUGUGCUGGAAUCCUUUCCCGAGUCAGUACUGCUUUCUAGAAGAAAACCGGGGAGAUCUAUUUGGAAUGUAUCUAACUCCAAAGAAACCAUCAGAGGUAACAGUAUCUUACAGACAGCAAGUUGAACAUUGUGGGAUGCAUGAGCUAUUGAGGCCUUUGCAGCUUUCUGCUACAUGGAGGCUAGGGCCAGAGUCAAGAUUUAUGCUUUGCAGCACACUGGUCAGCUGUUUUUGCAAAUCAGAUUAAAUGAUUUUUAAAUGAGGCUGAGAGCAUGGGAGAUACUAAUGUGUGUUUCCUUGUGAGCUACUGCAUAAGUUAGGAAAUUGAAAUACAGAAAGAUGAAAAGUGAUUUGCCCAAGCAUAUAGAUCAAAGCUGUGGCAGAACCAGGACUGGAACCUAUAUCUCUCUACUAAUGGUUUUUUUAAAAAAAUAACCUUGUUUCAAAAAUAUUAAAAAGUCACAAGAAAGGUAAACAUGUGGAUAAACAAAAUGAAGAAAAUAAAAAUUAUCCAGUAAUAACAUAUUGGCAUAUGUCUUUCUGGUAUAUUUUCCUGUGUUGUCAUCAUUAUCAUCUCCAUCAUCAUUAUAUCCAUCAUUAUCAUCAUCAUCAUCAUCAUCAUCAUCAUUAUCAUCACCAUAGUGAACAUGUAAUGCUUACCUAGUGCCAGAUGCUGUCUAGGCAUUUUACAUGUGUUACUGGUAACUCAUGUAAUCCUCAUAACAACCUUAUAAGGUGGUUGCUAUUAUCCCCAUGUUACAUAUGAAGAGACAGAAGCAUAAAGAAGUUGCACCGCUGGUAAUUGGCUGGGAUUUGAACUUAAGCAGUCUAACCUUAGAGUAAUGAUUUUAACAACUAUGCUAUAUACAUACAAAUUUACAAAAUAAAACUGGGCUCAGACAAUAA